rnacentral:rRNA from 1 species
GACGAACGCUGGCGGCGUGCCUUAUGCAUGCAAGUCGAACGAAAUUCUGUUUAACUAGCCUUCGGGCGAAUUAAUAAGUUGACAGUGGCGAACGGGUGAGUAACGCGUGAACAACCAACCUCUUACAGGGGGACAACAUCUGGAAACGGAUGCUAAUACCGCAUAAGACCCCACUACCGCAUGGUAGAGAGGUCAAAACUCCGGUGGUAAGAGACGGGUUCGCGUUCCAUUAGUUAGUAGGUGGGGUAAUGGCCUACCUAGACCGCGAUGGAUAGCCGAGCUGAGAGGCUGAUCGGCCACACUGGAACUGAGACACGGUCCAG